UACAUCCCUAACUAGCUGCAUAGAAAGCUGGGAGCUGAACCAGCAUGCCAUACUGCCACCUACCUACAGCAGCGCUGACAGUUCUUCAGCUCAGCCCGCAAACCAGCCAGCAUCUGCCCUGUGCCCGGCAAUGAGCCCGCUCCAGCUGGGAAUGCCCAGGUCCUGGUCUAACUGAGAAGCUUGUAGCAGGGGAACUUUGAACCUGGCUGCCUGGGUUGAAAAUCACACAGGAUGGAAAGAGAAGUGUUCUGCAGGCAACUUCUGCUCUCAGCCUGGCUGCAGAGCUCUCUCCUUGGGCAAAAGCCACAGCACCUGCUCUCUCCUUAGGGGCCAGGGAGUGAAGACAAAGGGAAAACACAGCAAGAAAGAAAGAAAUGUGUGACCUCAAAGACAAUCCAUCCAGACAUAUUUGUGUGUGGUAUCUACACAUUACAUCGCUGAAAAAUGA
rnacentral:lncRNA from 10 species